UCUGCAGUUCCUACUGUCUAAAGCACUGUGCUGUUUAUUAUCUGAAAGUUGGUUAUUUUUACUUUUCACAGAAAAUUAUUUGUCAUGAUCUCUCUCAGGUUUAGUACAAACAGUUUUUAACUUUGACAGAUGAAUGCAAAGAUAUUUCUCCCAUGUUGAAGUUUAAUUUUGGUUAGAGAUGUGCUCUCAGGAAAAGUUGGGUGAGUGCCUCCAUUUUUAUAAGCAGAUUGAACUGGCAAUUGCUUCAUAUAGUCGGAAUCUGUACCGGUUACAGGAUUAAAACUUCCCGACAACUCGCUCUGCUAGUCUGGCCAUGCUAGGUUAGUGGAUGUAACCUCGGGCAAUCCAUUUGCAAAAGUUUAGCAGACAGCCUUCUGAAUCUGUGUAACUUUGCUUACAUCUUUCGCCAGUUUUUAUAUUUUUUUGUGACUGGGAUGGAAUUUUAAUACAAAUAGCUCACGGUCUUUCUUUUAAGUCCACAUGGACUUCAAUGCCUGUUUCUGCUCCAUUUUGCUGCUGGCCAUUAGGAGAUGCCAAGACAAUAUCCCAAAUCAACACUGGCCUCACCCUGAAGUGGUAUUGCUGCAGAUUCUCCUGCUGAUUGUAAUUAAAACCUAAAUAGGGCUCAGUCUUAUUUUGUGCCAUUUUCAUUCUCGUCUUGCACUUUUAAUGAAUCAAACGGUGUAAUCAAAGGUGUUUUUUUUUACUGUUUAAUUGCUGUCCAUCGAUUCACUAGAAUUUUGAAUGUAGCAGUGAUGAAGCUUAAGGACCAUUGCUAAUCUAAUUUAUUCAUAGCUGUCACAACCAAAUGGGUGUUCUAGGUUUAUAUGAACACCGUAUGUCAAGAAAUAAGCCCCCACAGAGACUAUUUUAAGCAUUUCUUUUAUUUUUACCAAUGAGGUUUACCAUUUCUCAAUGUAGUUGGAGUAUAGUCCUUCACUGUGUCAUGGACAUCAUGGAAGUAUUAUUUAGCACGAUAGGAAAGGGACUGAAAUUUGUCCAAUUCAUUUCAUAUGAUGCCCUAAUUAACAGAUUUUCACCAAAUAUGUGUGGGCUGAUUUGGAAUUCUGGUGCCAAAAGUGAAAUGUCAGUGUCAAUCAACUCCCUACACUACCAAAUCCUUUUUGUUUUUCUCCUCAUCUUGCCUCCUCUCCUGCCUCCACUUACUCUGCCUUCUGAAACUGUUGAUUGAUGCUGGGGUUUGUUUGGGCUGGUGCCUAUCCUGAAUGAGCUGAAUAGCUACAUAACAAAAGUGGCUGUGGCAUCCAUGCUGGACCCCUUUCACAAAUGGUAUCCACCUUUGCAUGCAUUCGCUAAUGCAUAAGAGAAAAAGAGGCUGGCUGUAGCUUUGCUUCCAUUCCCUUGUUAUGUUGUGACCUGCACACUCUUAAGUCUGCCUCUGCUCCUUUUUCCUUAGGGCAAGUCACUAGUACUUGCUGACUUUUGAUUGUGCUUGCCAUUUAACACAUGGAGCUAAAUCAUUGUGUUGAUCUUGUGGAUUUUCUUUUUGCUUUUGGGUUUUGAAUUUCAGUUUAAAUGGGUCAACAAAAUUAAAACCAUUUAUUUGAAAGAAAUUGCAGACUGCUCUUUUUCUUUGGCCCACACAUUGCCUUUACAAGCAGUUUCUGGGUAAGCAACACCUUGGCGCCUGGGUAGGCAACAUGAUGCCAGCUCAUAGCAACAUCUAUUAAACUCUUUCUUUUUCUCUAGAAUUGUCACAACUAUGACAAAAUUCUAUGCUUUUUAAUGAACGUGAUUAUUUCUCAAGCUGUUUUGACAGGUAUACCUUUUUUGAUUUGCAUGUUAAAGAAGACAUCCAUUUCACUUACACUACCAAAAGAAACAACUUCAUAACUACUAUUAACCUCUUGAGCUAGAGUGCAAUUCUAGCAGGCAGUCACUGGAACACAGAGUUAUAAACUUUCCUGUUGGAUUUAUGAUAGUUCACAUUUUGCAAGGGAAUUCAUAGACUUUGCUGUUUUAAUUUAUAGGGUUGCUUCCAGAGCCAAGUUUUUCGAAAAUGCUGCUAGAAAAACAGGCGGUGUGAAUGCUUCCCCACCACGGUCUCCCCUUGUAGCAUGCACAAUUACUGCAAAAGAUGAGAGCCCAAGCAACGUGCACUCAUUCAGUCGAUCAUAGCCCUGGUUUCUCACUCCUAUAGAUACAGUCUUUUG